AUAUUCAUGACCUUUUUACUAAAUGGCACGUGAUUGAUAAAUUUGAUCAAAAUGUGCAUUUUGUUGAAAUUGAUAUCGAGGAAGAUCAAGAAAUAGCUGAAGCAGCCGGAAUUAUGGACAAGGACCUGCUCAGGAGUCAAAAUGAAGAAAGAGACAGAGAAUUCAUUGAAGCAAAUACGUGAGAGGGUAUUCUAAGCAAUGAAUUUGCAGUUGCCAGCAUUUUGUCAUUCAAUUUUGUUCCUAGCAAAGGGUUAUAGCCAAAUAAUGCAUUAUAAUUCUUACGUCGAUACUUUGUUUUGUUAAAUACUGCAGUGUAGAUUAUACAUGCUAAAAUGAACCGUUUUACGGUAAAUCAAAUCAAAUUGUGAAAAUGAAUAUUCA